rnacentral:lncRNA from 1 species
CUGAAACCAAAGAUCCGCUGCGAGUGCAGCCACAUCUCAAGAAAUGCUUUGAAGGCAUUCAUUCACUCAACUUUGAUGCCAACGGAGAAAUCAUCGCAAUUGUGUCAGCUGAAGGUGAAGCUGUGCAACUCACAAGGAAGAUCAAUCCAGCGUCGGCUAA